CCUACGGGGGGCUGCAGUGGGGAAUAUUGGACAAUGGGGGCAACCCUGAUCCAGCCAUGCCGCGUGUGUGAAGAAGGCCCUCGGGUUGUAAAGCACUUUCAGUGAGGAAGAACGCCUGGUGGUUAAUACCCAUCAGGAAAGACAUCACUCACAGAAGAAGCACCGGCUAACUCCGUGCCAGCAGCCGCGGUAAUACGGAGGGUGCGAGCGUUAAUCGGAAUUACUGGGCGUAAAGCGCGCGUAGGUGGCUUGAUAAGCCGGUUGUGAAAGCCCCGGGCUCAACCUGCGAACGGCAUCCGGAGCUGGAAGGGUAGGGGAUAGGGGAGGCGGGCAGCACGGGGGGAGUCGCGGUGAAAUGCGUCGGGCACGGAAAGGGUACGAGGUGAGGAUGAGUCCAAGUGGGCAUUUGCUGACUGUGAGGUGUGAUAGCGUAGGGAGCAAACAGGCUCAGAUGCACGUGUAGGG
rnacentral:rRNA from 1 species